rnacentral:rRNA from 1 species
UGCCAGACUCCUACGGGAGACAGCAGUGGGGAAUAUUGCACAAUGGGGGGAACCCUGAUGCAGCGACGCCGCGUGGGCGAGGAAGUAUUUCGGUAUGUAAAGCCCUAUCGGCAGGGAAGAAGAAAUGACGGUACCUGAAUAAGAAGCACCGGCUAAAUACGUGCCAGCAGCCGCGGUAAUACGUAUGGUGCAAGCGUUAUCCGGAUUUACUGGGCGUAAAGGGAGCGCAGGCGGCGCGCCAAGUCUGAUGGGAAACCCCGGGGCUCAACCCCGGGCAUGCAUUGGAAACUGGCGGGCUGGAGUGCAGGAGGGGCAGGCGGAAUUCCUGGUGUAGCGGUGAAAUGCGUAGAUAUCAGGAGGAACACCGGUGGCGAAGGCGGCCUGCUGGACUGCGACUGACGUUGAGGCCCGAAAGCGUGGGGAGCAAACAGGAUUAGAUACCCCAGUA